rnacentral:RNase_P_RNA from 1 species
AGAGUCAGCGUAGGCGGUUGCAGGCUAGCAGCGCUAGUCUGAGGAAAGUCCGGGCUCCCGAAAGACCAGACUUGCUGGGUAACGCCCAGUGCGGGUGACCGUGAGGAGAGUGCCACAGAAACAUACCGCCGAUGGUGCCUAUUCGGCACACAGGUAAGGGUGCAAGGGUGCGGUAAGAGCGCACCAGCAGCAUCGAGAGGUGCUGGCUCGGUAAACCCCGGUCGGGUGCAAGGUCAAGGGGCUAGGUUGGUCUUUUACCGGCCCCGCUGUUAAGAACCGCUUGAGGCGGCUGGUAACAGCCGUCCCAGAUAGAUAACCGCCCCCCUGUUGGGGAACAGAACCCGGCUUAUGUCUGACUCUUUCC